GGAAUAUUUUAUAUAUUUUUGUAUGUAAAUAAAUAAUAUUUAUGUAUAAUUUUCUGGAUGUCACUCAACCAUUCAUGCUUCUUCGAAUAUACAUAUAAAACACAUGUCUGUAUGUCUGUAUAUACAGCUUCCUGAACAAAAGGGCAAAAUAAUCUACUUUUUGAAAUAUGUUUUGGACUCUUUCUUUCCUAGCAGCAGUGUCUGGAAGAAGGCUGAUAUUCUCUGCUGCCCCUUAAGCAACCCCAGCUGAGAGCCCAGAAAAUGUAAGGCAGGUGCUCACAGACUGGGGCACAUCCGAGCAAGAAGGGCUUUGCUCUCUGGAGGUGGAGGAGCUCUUGAUUUGCUUAGCAAUGAGUUUAAUUGUCCUGCUGGAGAAGAACCACUCUUUAUCUGCCAAAGAAAUAAUGGGACAAGGGAUGUGCUGCCCUGAGCCGGCCGGAGGAGCAGCGCUGGCGGCAGCCGCUAGGGAUCAGCCUUGCCCCGCUCUUCAGCGCUGCGCCCGGCGCCGUCGCCGUGCUCGCCUCCCUCGCCGCCCGACCUCCGGCUUUUCACAGCUGGUUUUUCUGUCAAGUUAUUUUUCUUUGGAACGUGCGUGUUCGUUGCAGGGCAUUUUCACAUUCCCCUGCGCUUUCUCUCAUCGUUUUCAACUUCUUUGCCAUUAAUUAGCCGGCAGCGCGGGGGAUACGUUUCCUUGUAGAGAAAUUUGGGGAGUUUUGCUGCUGCAGAAGUGCAAAACUCCUGCCACUUCUGCAGACUAUUUGCUUUGGUUUAGCUAAUUUUUAUACUGUACUCUAUUGGUAAUACUAUAUUAUAAUCUUUUAGACUUCAUUUUUUCCCCCACACUCCUACCCGCUGUCAUAUCACCGCUACGACCUGGAUGUGCCCACUAGCGCUGUGCUCACACCAUGUCCUUAAGUAGCAACUUUUCCUUAGCUAUGUGCAAAUCUGGGAGGGGGGAGAAAAAAACAGACAAAGGGAAAGGAUGUUCACCUUUUCUACAAGCGUAAUCCCAUCCCAAACCCCAGUGUGCUCUCAGAGAUGGGAACACCAGUGCCAAGCCGAGUGCGGUCCCAUACGCUUGGGGUAGGGCUGGUGGGCAUCCAUCCACCAUCCGUGCCCACACCACCACAGUUACUGGUGUGCUAACUGGGGGCACCAGGGGAUGGUGAUGCCGUGCUGCUGCAUUGCCAAAGUGGCACAUGGUGGCCCUUCAAAAGCAGCAGCACAGCAGCUGCUUCCCCUGGAGCAGAGCAGUUUCAGCUCCUGUUUAGUUUCUUGCUGAGGUUUUAAUGCUGCAGUUUAGCUCGUAGUUUCCAUGUUUCAGAUAUUUCAGAACUUCACUAAUCGCCUCUCAUUUUGCACCUCGGAAGUAUAUUGGACAUGAUGAGCUGACAUAACCAGCCAUGACAAAUUAUUGUGGAGAUGUGGGAAGCACACAGAAUACAAAGGGGAACGAUGCACCAGGAACUGAGCUCCAACUUCAUCUGUGUCACAGGACCUCAGAUAUAAAUCUGUCCCAGGCAGAACUGUGUUCACUGCCAGGAUUUGUCCCAGUGCUUUAUUUAUGACUGGGAUUGUCUUCUGAAAUGAAGAGCUCCAGCUUUAAUUUGCAUGCUUUAGUGUCCAUAUAUUUACAUAAGCAAGUGCAUCUGACACGAUAUGCCUAUGUUUUGGAUGCGUGCCUUAAGUGAAACAGUUAAUCUGCAAUAAAUAUUUAUAGUUAACUACCA
rnacentral:lncRNA from 1 species